UGGUGGUCACUCAAUGGUACAGUGCUUCCCUAGCAUGCACGAGACCCUGUGUUCAAUCCCCAGAACCACCAA
rnacentral:tRNA from 1 species